CCUACGGGGGGCAGCAGUGGGGAAUAUUGGACAAUGGGGGCAACCCUGAUCCAGCCAUGCCGCGUGUGUGAAGAAGGCCCUCGGGUUGUAAAGCACUUUCAGUGAGGAAGAACGCCUGGUGGUUAAUACCCAUCAGGAAAGACAUCACUCACAGAAGAAGCACCGGCUAACUCCGUGCCAGCAGCCGCGGUAAUACGGAGGGUGCGAGCGUUAAUCGGAAUUACUGGGCGUAAAGCGCGCGUAGGUGGCUUGAUAAGCCGGUUGUGAAAGCCCCGGGCUCAACCCGGGAACGGCAUCCGGAACUGUCAAGCUAGAGUGCAGGAGAGGAAGGUAGAAUUCCCGGUGUAGCGGUGAAAUGCGUAGAGAUCGGGAGGAAUACCAGUGGCGAAGGCGGCCUUCUGGACUGACACUGACACUGAGGUGCGAAAGCGUGGGUAGCAAACAGGAUUAGAUACCCGAGUAGUC
rnacentral:rRNA from 1 species